CGGCCAGAGACUGACAAAAUGGAGUACCAGCUGCUUCUUAAAUAGCAUCAAAGCUGAGCUACAUUGUUAACAGGAGGAAGAAUAUAAAUCAGAAAUUAUCUGCUUGUCUUAGUCAAGCUGCUUUUAAGUAAUCACAGAAUGAGGUUUAUAUCUGGGAAGAAAAAAAUGGAAAGAAAGGAGC